AACGAACGCUGGUGGUAUGCUUAACACACGCAAGUCGAACGGGCAUAGCAAUAUGUCAGUGGCAAACGGGUGAGUAAUGUAUAGGAAUCUACCUAGCAGUAAGGAAUAACCCUGGGAAACCAGGGCUAAUGCCAUAUAUUACCGGUUAGCAAUAACCGGGAAAGAUUUAUCGCUGUUAGAUGAGCCUGUAUCAGAUUAGCUAGUUGGUGGGGUAAUAGCCUACCAAGGCAAUGAUCUGUAGCUGGUCUGAGAGGAUGAUCAGCCACACUGGAACUGCGACACGGUCCAGACUCCUACGGGAGGCAGCAGUGGGGAAUAUUGGACAAUGGGCGCAAGCCUGAUCCAGCAAUACCACGUGAGUGAUGAAGGCCUUCGGGUUGUAAAACUCUUUUAGUAGGGAAGAUAAUGACUGUACCUACAGAAAAAGCACCGGCUAACUUCGUGCCAGCAGCCGCCGCCG
rnacentral:rRNA from 1 species